rnacentral:rRNA from 1 species
GGUCAUUAGAGGAAGUAAAAGUCGUAACAAGGUCUCCGUUGGUGAACCAGCGGAGGGAUCAUUA